UGGCGGACGGGUGAGUAGUGUCUGGGAAACUGCCUGAUGGAGGGGGAUAACUACUGGAAACGGUAGCUAAUACCGCAUAACGUCGCAAGACCAAAGAGGGGGACCUUCGGGCCUCUUGCCAUCGGAUGUGCCCAGAUGGGAUUAGCUAGUAGGUGGGGUAACGGCUCACCUAGGCGACGAUCCCUAGCUGGUCUGAGAGGAUGACCAGCCACACUGGAACUGAGACACGGUCCAG
rnacentral:rRNA from 1 species